GCAGAACUCAUUAAGCAGCGAUAUUAGUUUAUAUGUUGUAGUCUGUGUUACCAGCAACUCUACAGGAUCUAAAGUGAACAAAACAGUUAAAGUCCGGGUUAUGCAGAAACCAUUCCAGCUUAUGUUCCAUGAUUCUUCACUUACACUAAAGCCAUCACUAAAUUUUUCUACAAACCUCAGCAUCUCUAGAUACGACAGAAAGCCUUUGAGCUCACAGGAUCUUAUGAACUUUGCUAUGAUUAACAUCACUCAGAGGACA